AGUAGAAUUACUGUUGGGAAGUAACUAUGGCAUUAAGGUCUUCCAAGAAGCAGAUGCCAAGAUGGGCUCAAAUGUGCAAGAUAUUUAUGGAAAACCACCUAUGAAGGACAAAGGAACAGAGAACAAGAGCCUUCCCCCAUGUCUAAUACCUGUGAAAGGAGAGAGAGAAGGAAGAAUUUAGUAGGAAGAGCCUGAGGUUGCUGCUUAGUUCUGAGAAAGCCUCAGCGAGGCCGAUGGAGAGCCCUUGAGCUGAGGUUGCCCAUUAGACAAAUUCUGCAUCAGGUAGUACUGGUUCUUUUCUAGUAACCUGGCCAUGCUCAGUCUUUGUGCAGGAGUAGCCCAGGAGAGCAUGGCCUGGGAUAAAUUCCUCAAUGAAUACAAAGUUGCAGCAGCUCAGCUAUGCUAGUCACAGCAGUUUCUUUUAAGGGAAAUCUGAGUAGAACACCUCCAUGGCUAUCACAGCCAACCCAGAUUGUGCAUUUGCUCAUGAACUAGAUAUGGCCACAUGAACAAUAGGUGAUAUUUCCCAGGAGACUCCUGGAGGUGCAAUGAGAUCUCUGCAGUAAGAGGUUGAAUGUGUACCUUUGGAUGUUCACAGAUGAGGGAAGGAAUCAUAAUUGGCUAACAAGAGGAGAUACAUUUGACUAUGUUAAGAGAACUGGAGGACCUCCACCAAGAUCUUGUGAUUGACAUCAUGUCUGGAUGCAGCUGCUUAUAAUCCACAGCCUCUGAAUAUAAAGACAGGUUAUGUCCCCGAAACACAAAAGAUACAAUGAUGAAGAGGAAUAAAACGACUACAACAAACACUUCCACUCAAAAAAGGGACAUAACAGAAGGUGCUGAUCAGAAACCCACAAAUAUCUGCCAGGCUGGCAACAGACCCUAAAGAGAGGAGCCUGGGAGGUAGGCAAUAUUAUCGCUAUGUUACUGAAGAUACAACUGAGGCGUAUCUCAAGCUACUUAUGCCAGCUCUUAUUGCCUGUGAGGAUCAAGCCAAAAUCAAACAGAUUAACAAAAAACAGUUGAGGAGCAAGCUAAAUUCCUACAGGCAAUAGUGGGACCAGAGCUCAUAGGCUGGCACCAAUAGUACAGUUUGGUCCCAAGGAGAAGCAGCAAGGCCAUGCAGGGAAUCACAUAAACAGAUCAGAAACUGAAGUUUGGCUUGCUGACGUGACUUGCUCAAGGUCACAUAGCUACGAAUUGUAGACCUAGAACUAAAAACAUCCUGGCUCCUUGUCUAGUUUUUAUUGCUCUAUCCCAGGUUGUCUAGCUUAACUAACUCUUGCUUCAUGGAGCUUGUAGGAAAGGAUGCCCUGCAAAUGCAGGACGUAAGCAUCUGGGGAAUAUAUCCAAUCAUUCUUGCA
rnacentral:lncRNA from 1 species